rnacentral:rRNA from 1 species
ACUCAAAGGAAUUGACGGGGGCCCGCACAAGCAGCGGAGCAUGUGGUUUAAUUCGAAGCAACGCGAAGAACCUUACCAGGCCUUGACAUCCCUCUGACGGAUGCAGAGAUGCAUCUUUCCUUCGGGACAGAGGAGACAGGUGGUGCAUGGUUGUCGUCAGCUCGUGUCGUGAGAUGUUGGGUUAAGUCCCGCAACGAGCGCAACCCUUGUAUUCAGUUACCAGCACAUCGAGGUGGGGACUCUGAAUAGACUGCCGUGGGUAACACGGAGGAAGGUGGGGACGACGUCAAAUCAUCAUGCCCCUUAUGGUCUGGGCUACACACGUGCUACAAUGGCCUGAAACAGAGGGAAGCGAAGCAGCAAUGCAGAGCAAAACCGGUAAACCAGGUCUCAGUUCGGAUUGGGGGCUGCAACCCGCCCCCAUGAAGUCGGAGUUGCUAGUAAUCGCGAAUCAGCAUGUCGCGGUGAAUACGUUCCCGGGCCUUGCACACACCGCCCGU